rnacentral:rRNA from 1 species
CUCCUACGGGAGGCAGCAACUGGGAAUAUUGCGCAAUGGACGAAAGUCUGACGCAGCGACGCCGCGUGGAGGAAGAAGGCCCUCGGGUUGUAAACUCCUCUUGCCAAGCUCUUCACGGCUUGGAGAAUAAGCCUCUACUAACUACGUGCCAGAAGUCUCGGUAAUACGUAGGAGGCAAGCGUUAUCCGGAUUUACUGGGCGUAAAGUGUGCGUAGGCGGAUUAAUAAGUCCUAAUUCAAAGACUGUGGCUUACCCAUAGAAUCUGUUAGGAUACUGCUAAUCUUUGAGGAUUGACAGGGGUACCGGAACAGUUAGUGUAGCAGUGAAAUGCGUUGAUAUUAACUGGAACACCGAUGGCGAAGGCAGGUGCCUGGGUUUUUCCUGACGCUGAGGCACGAAAGCUAGGGUAGCGAAACAGAUUAGAGACCUGUGUAGUCCUAGCCGUAAACGAUGUCUGCUAGCUCUUUGAUGUUGAAUCAGGGGGCGUAAGCUAACGCGUUAAGCAGACCGCCUGGGGAGUACGGCUGCAAGGCUAAAACUCAAAUGAAUUGACGG